UACAGAGGGUGCGAGCGUUGUCCGGAAUCACUGGGCGUAAAGCGUGCGUAGACGGUUAUUUAAGUCGGGUGUGAAAGCCCCGGGCUCAACCUGGGAAUUGCAUUCGAGACUGAAUAGCUAGGGUACGGUAGAGGGAAGUGGAAUUUCCGGUGUAGCGGUGAAAUGCGUAGAUAUCGGAAGGAAUAUCAGUGGCGAAAGCGACUUCCUGGACCAGUACCGACGUUCAGGCACGAAAGCGUGGGGAGCAAACAGG
rnacentral:rRNA from 1 species